GACGAACCGUGCAAACGUUGUUCGGAAUCACUGGGCUUAAAGGGCGCGUAGGCGGGUUCCCAAGUCGGUGGUGAAAUCUUUCGGCCCAACCGGAAAAGUGCCGCCGAUACUGGGAGUCUCGAGGGAGGUAGGGGUCGAUGGAACUUCCGGUGGAGCGGUGAAAUGCGUAGAUAUCAGGAAGAACACCGGUGGCGAAAGCGCUCUGCUAGGCCGCAACUGACACUGAGGGACGAAAGCUAGGGGAGCGAAUGGG
rnacentral:rRNA from 1 species